GGGGAUAUGGCUCAGUGGUAAAGCUCCUGUUUUGCGUGCAUGAAGUCCCCGGUUCGAUUCC
rnacentral:tRNA from 1 species